rnacentral:lncRNA from 1 species
UGGAAGAAGAAAUCAUUUUGUACAUCUUCCAUCCUUUGCCAAAAUCAUCAUCUUAAGUAGAUUUGUCCAAAACUAUUUUUUUUUUAAGAUCUAGAACUAUUGAAAUAGAAACACAUAAAAAAGGGGAUUUUUGGCAGAGAAAUCGAAAGAGGAAUAGGAGAAUAUGCACAUCUUGCGGAGAGAGUGAGAGACGGCCGCCGGAGAGAGAUGG